AACAUGGUGAAAUUCAGGAAAAAGAAGUGAAAAGGACUAAAAUGACGCAAAGUGAAAGUUCAGGGACCAAGGUGCAAUUAUCCAAAAGUUGACUCGAUGAACAAAUCGAGAAAUUGAUUAAGCCAAUUACCAAUUGAUGAUAUCUUGGGAUGAUGGAAUCGAAAGAAUGAAGAAAGGAUGUCAAGAAGUGAAGGAUUCAAGUAGGAUGACCAAAAUGAACACCUUUCAUAGUUGGUAGACUGCAUACUGCUACCCUCUAUGCGGUCGCAUAGAGCCAAACCGAACUUAAAAUGACAGAAUUUUUACUCUAUGCGACCGCAUAGAGUUGCUCUAUGCGGUCACAUAGAGCAAUUCUCAUGUAAAAUUGCAGUUUCCUUUUUCCGCCAAAACUCUUAUGGAAACAAUAUUUUUAGGGUCCUAUAUAAACAAAAACUUGACCAGAAUGAAGGGGAUGCCAUUUUUACAAGUUUUUGAGAGAUUUUGAAGGAGAAACGUGGAGAGAACAAGAGGACAACAUCGCGUCAAGUGAAGAUUGAUUCGGGUGAUGACGUUUCUUCAGCUAUUUUUAUGUUUUCUUCUUUUUAGCAUUUAGGCUAGAUUUUUCAUUGCUAGGAGAUCGACGAACCUUGUAAUACUACGUUUGAUUUUUUAUUUGGAUAUUUGACAUCUUUAAAUGCAUAUUCCGGAAUUGAA
rnacentral:lncRNA from 1 species